rnacentral:rRNA from 1 species
UAACAUAAGUAACCUGCCCUAGACAGGGGGAGUAACUAUUGGAAACGAUAGCUAAGACCGCAUAGGUACGGACACUGCAUGGUGACCGUAUUAAAAGUGCCUCAAAGCACUGGUAGAGGAUGGACUUAUGGCGCAUUAGCUGGUUGGCGGGGUAACGGCCCACCAAGGCGACGAUGCGUAGCCGACCUGAGAGGGUGACCGGCCACACUGGGACUGAGACACGGCCCAG